AUUGAACGCUGGCGGCAGGCUUAACACAUGCAAGUCGAGCGGGGGAGGUUGCUUCGGUAACUGACCUAGCGGCGGACGGGUGAGUAAUGCUUAGGAAUCUGCCUAUUAGUGAGGGACAACAUUCCGAAAGGGAUGCUAAUACCGCAUACGCCCUACGGGGGAAGGCAGGGGAUCUUCGGACCUUGCGCUAAGAGAUGAGCCUACGUCGGAUUAGCUAGUUGGUGGGGUAAAGGCCUACCAAGGCGACGAUCUGUAGCGGGUCUGAGAGGAUGAUCCGCCACACUGGGACUGGGACACGGCCCAGACUCCUACGGGAGGCAGCAGUGGGGAAUAUUGGACAAUGGGCGGAAGCCUGAUCCAGCCAUGCCGCGUGUGUGAAGAAGGCCUUUUGGUUGUAAAGCACUUUAAGCGAGGAGGAGGCUCUUAAGGUUAAUACCCUUGAUGAGUGGACGUUACUCGCAGAAUAAGCACCGGCUAACUCUGUGCCAGCCGCCGCCGUAAUAC
rnacentral:rRNA from 1 species